GAUGAACGCUGGCGGCGUGCCUAAUACAUGCAAGUCGAGCGAACAGACGAGAGUGCUUGCCCUCUCUGACGUUAGCGGCGGACGGGUGAGUAACACGUGGGUAACCUACCUAUAAGACUGGGAUAACUUCGGGAAACCGGAGCUAAUACCGGAUAAUAUUUAGCUUCGCAUGAAGCAAUAGUGAAAGACGGUUCUGCUGUCACUUAUAGAUGGACCCGCGGUGUAUUAGCUAGUUGGUGAGGUAACGGCUCACCAAGGCAACGAUACAUAGCCGACCUGAGAGGGUGAUCGGCCACACUGGGACUGAGACACGGCCCAGACUCCUACGGGAGGCAGCAGUAGGGAAUCUUCCGCAAUGGACGAAAGUCUGACGGAGCAAUGCCGCGUGAGUGAAGAAGGUUUUCGGAUCGUAAAACUCUGUUGUAAGGGAAGAACAAAUACGUUAGUAACUGAACGUACCUUGACGGUACCUAACCAGAAAGCCACGGCUAACUACGUG
rnacentral:rRNA from 1 species